rnacentral:rRNA from 1 species
UACGGAGGGUGCAAGCGUUGUCCGGAUUUAUUGGGUUUAAAGGGUGCGUAGGCGGCCUAUUAAGUCAGCGGUGAAAUCCCACGGCUCAACCGUGGAACUGCCGUUGAUACUGGUUGGCUUGAGUUUGGUCGAGGCGGGCGGAACUGGUGGUGUAGCGGUGAAAUGCAUAGAUACCACCAAGAACCCCGAUUGCGAAGGCAGCUCGCUGGGCCAAAACUGACGCUGAGGCACGAAAGCGUGGGGAGCGAACAGG